CAGCGGGGAGGUAGCAAUACCUUUGCCGGCGACCGGCGCACGGGUGAGUAACACGUAUCCAACCUGCCGUCUACUCUUGGCCAGCCUUCUGAAAGGAAGAUUAAUACAAGAUGGCAUCAUGAGUUCACAUGUCCGCAUGAUUAAAGGUAUUUUCCGGUAGACGAUGGGGAUGCGUUCCAUUAGAUAGUAGGCGGGGUAACGGCCCACCAAGACUACGAUGGAUAGGGGUUCUGAGAGGAAGGUCCCCACAUUGGAACUGAGACACGGACCAAACUCC
rnacentral:rRNA from 1 species